AUUGAACGCUGGCGGCAGGCCUAACACAUGCAAGUCGAACGGUAACAGGAAGAAGCUUGCUUCUUUGCUGACGAGUGGCGGACGGGUGAGUAAUGUCUGGGAAACUGCCUGAUGGAGGGGGAUAACUACUGGAAACGGUAGCUAAUACCGCAUAAUGUCGCAAGACCAAAGAGGGGGACCUUCGGGCCUCUUGCCAUCGGCUGUGCCCAGAUGGGAUUAGCUAGUAGGUGGGGUAACGGCUCACCUAGGCGCCGAUCCCUAGCUGGUCUGAGAGGAUGACCCGCCACACUGGAACUGGGACACGGUCCAGCCUCCUACGGGAGGCAGCAGUGGGGAAUAUUGCACAAUGGGCGCAAGCCUGAUGCAGCUAUGCCGCGUGUAUGAAGAAGGCCUGCGGGUUGUAAAGUACUUUCAGCGGGGAGGAAGGGAGUAAAGUUAAGACCUUUGCUCAUUGACGUUACCCGCAGAAGAAGCACCGGCUAACUCCGG
rnacentral:rRNA from 1 species